CCUACGGGGGGCAGCAGUGGGGAAUAUUGGGCAAUGGGCGCAAGCCUGACCCAGCAACGCCGCGUGAAGGAAGAAGGCUUUCGGGUUGUAAACUUCUUUUCUCAGGGACGAAGCAAGUGACGGUACCUGAGGAAUAAGCCACGGCUAACUACGUGCCAGCAGCCGCGGUAAUACGUAGGUGGCAAGCGUUAUCCGGAUUUACUGGGUGUAAAGGGCGUGUAGGCGGGAAAGCAAGUCAGAUGUGAAAACCAUGGGCUCAACCUGUGGCCUGCAUUUGAAACUGUUUUUCUUGAGUACUGGGGAGGCAGACGGAAUUCCUAGUGUAGCGGUGAAAUGCGUAGAUAGUAGGAGGAACACCAGUGGCGAAGGCGGUCUGCUGGACAGCAACUGACGCUGAGGCGCGAAAGCGUGGGGAGCAAACAGGAUUAGAUACCCGUGUAGUC
rnacentral:rRNA from 1 species